CAAUGGCUGACAAAUAACGUGCCACAGAAUUCUGAGGCAGCCCGCAAGGUGUGCUGCAGUAUGACGCAACUUUUACAGGAAGAACCACUUUAUAAACAAAAUACCAAGUUGAAGCUGACUGUUAGCUAGCUGACGUUAGAUGGCUGGCUCACAUUAUGUUUAUGAUCUGUGUAGUAAUGUUCUCAGAAUGACAUUUCGUAUUUUUAUUUAUAGCCAGCUAACAUUGAACCUAUUUGGUUAACUUUAGCUAGCUGUGAUAAAUCGGUUUGUCUAAACAAAAGACUCCACUUCGCCAGAUGAUUACAUGACCCAUCAAGUUAGCUAGGUGUGUCUGACGGUAAUUACGGCUAUCUAUUGUAUAAUAAUGCCAAAAUCUGGAAUUUGUCUUUCAGCAUCAGUAGAACACUCUCCUCCACCAGUCAUACAAGGAGAAUGGUCUAAUGCCUCCCAUCAAAAAGAGAGCUGGCCCAAGCAAGCACAGGUUACACCUGAAUCAUGAGGACUUGCAAGUGGUGAACUUCAACAACUACGCAGACGAUAAUGCAAUCGUGUUACCAGGACGCCACCCAGGACACAAACACUUUGGUGGAAAGCUGCUGCCAUCCCAUGUGACAAAAGCAGCAGUGUGGCGUCUCUACAAGGAAUCGAUGACAACACUUGAGGUACGUGUAGUCAUACUUCCAGUUUCCAAGAUGAUGUUCUUUCUGUAUGCAGUGCUGCUGCUCUGCACAUUUGUAGGUGCACUAUCCUUCUGACCCUAUGCCAGGUCCCAUUUACUUUUUAACUCCUCGCAAAUCUGGCUUGUUUGGUGUCUGCUGUGAAGGAAUACCACAACAAGUCAACUACUUGAUUGAUGAAGGCAUGUCAUCCAGCAAAGGCAGCAGCACAGUCAACUACAUGCACCAUUUCUUCACCAACUAGUUGGAGAAAAUCAUGUGUUGACCUGAAUUAUGAUAACUGCAGUGGCCAAAACAAGAAGUUUGUGCUCUGUUAUUGUGCCUGGCGGACCAUGCACAAGCUCCACCACAGUCUGGACCUUCACUUCCUGAUCACAGACCACACCAAGUUUGACUGACUGGUGCUUUGGCCUCAUCAAGCAGCUCUUCAGAAAGACCAGAGUGAACACUGUCUGAGAUUGCUGCUGUUGUGAAGGACAGCACUGUGACAGGGGUCAACAUCCCACAGCUGGUUGGACUGGAGGAUGGUACGGUGCUGGUGGAAAGCUAUGGCUGGCAACAACACCUGACUACAUACUUCAGGCCACUGCCACAGGUCAAGCAGUAUCAGUGCUUCGGCUUCGAUGCUCUGGAGCCUGGUGUUUUCGCAAAGGAGCGUUCGGACUCAGUCGGGACCAGGUUUCAGCUGUUGCGCAAUGCUGACAUCCUUCCUCCCAUAGAUGGUCUGCCUGUACAAGCACCACCUGGACUGGACACAGCUCGACAAACGUAUGUUUUUGAGAAGAUCAGGGAGUUUUGUGAUGAAAAGGCUAUCAAAUCAAAUCAAAUUUAUUUAUGUAGCCCUUCGUACAUCAGCUGAUAUCUCAAAGUGCUGUACAGAAACCCAGCCAAAAACCCCAAACAGCAAGCAAUGCAGGUGUAGAAGCACGGUGGCUAGGAAAAACUCCCUAGAAAGGCCAAAACCUAGGAAGAAACCUAGAGAGGAACCAGGCUAUGUGGGGUGGCCAGUCCUCUUCUGGCUGUGCCGGGUGGAGAUUAUAACAGAACAUGGUCAAGAUGGACAGUACAUCUAUUUUGAUAUUGCUACUAUGCAAGUAACCAUUUGGCUGUACCGUUUAUACCCUCUUUAGAGACCCAUCCACUUGGCAAUAUGUGGCUGGGGAUUAUAUCAUUUCUUUCACAUGACCCAUCAAUUUAGACAAGUGUGUCUGGGUAAGCAUCAUCUAAUUUAUUGUUUACCUGGAAUUUUUUAAUGAAUCUUUACUACACUACUCACUUUUUAGCACAUGACCUCACAUGUGAAUCCUUAAGAGAUGGGUGGGGCUGGCUUAAGCGGGUGUGAACAAUGCUGAAUGGGU